GACGAACGCUGGCGGCGCGCUUAACACAUGCAAGUCGAACGGAAAGGCCUGCUUUCCCUUGUGGAUUGCGGGUACUCGAGUGGCGAACGGGUGGGUAACACGUGAGUGAUCUGCCCCCAACUUGGGUAUAAGCCUGGGAAACUGGGUCUAAUUCCCGAUAGGACUGCAGGGUGGUGCCUGUGGUGGAAAACGAUUUUCUAGUGGUUGGGGAUGAGCUCGCGGCCUAUCAGCUUGUUGGUGGGGUAAUGGCCUACCAAGGCGGCGACGGGUAGCCGGCCUGAGAGGGUGGACGGCCACAUUGGGACUGAGAUACGGCCCAGACUCCUACGGGAGGCAGCAGUGGGGAAUAGUGCACAAUGGGCGGAAGCCUGAUGCAGCGACGCCGCGUGGGGGAUGACGGCCUUCGGGUUGUAAACUCCUUUCGACCGCGAGGAAGCCACAUGGUUGGAAGGGUGGUGACGGUAGUGGUAGAAGAAGCACCGGCUAACUACGUG
rnacentral:rRNA from 1 species